ACGGGAGGCAGCAGUGGGGGAUAUUGCACAAUGGAGGAAACUCUGAUGCAGCAACGCCGCGUGAGGGAAGAAGGUUUUCGGAUUGUAAACCUCUGUUUUUAGUUAAGAACAAGUGACGGUAGCUAAAGAGGAAGCCACGGCUAACUACGUGCCAGCAGCCGCGGUAAUACGUAGGUGUCAAGCGUUGUCCGGAUUUACUGGGUGUAAAGGGUGCGCAGGCGGGACUGCAAGUUGGAUGUGAAAUACCGAAGCUUAACUUCGGAACUGCAUCCAAAACUGUAGUUCUUGAGUGGAGUAGAGGUAAGCGGAAUUCCGAGUGUAGCGGUGAAAUGCGUAGAUAUUCGGAGGAACACCAGUGGCGAAGGCGGCUUACUGGGAGAGAACUGACGAUGAGGCACGAACGUGUGGGAAGCAAACAGGAUUAGAUACCCUGGUA
rnacentral:rRNA from 1 species